rnacentral:rRNA from 1 species
AUUGAACGCUGGCGGCAUGCUUUACACAUGCGAGUCGAACGGCAGCGCGGGCUUCGGCCUGGCGGCGAGUGGCGAACGGGUGAGUAAUACAUCGGAACGUGCCCAGUAGUGGGGGAUAGCUCGGCGAAAGCCGGAUUAAUACCGCAUACGACCUGAGGGUGAAAGCGGGGGAUCUUCGGACCUCGCGCUAUUGGAGCGGCCGAUGGCAGAUUAGCUAGUUGGUGGGGUAAAGGCCUACCAAGGCGACGAUCUGUAGCUGGUCUGAGAGGACGACCAGCCACACUGGGACUGAGACACGGCCCAGACUCCUACGGGAGGCAGCAGUGGGGAAUUUUGGACAAUGAGCGAAAGCCUGAUCCAGCAAUGCCGCGUGUGUGAUGAAGGCCUUCGGGUUGUAAAGCACUUUUGGCGGGAACGAAAAGGACUGUGCCAAUACCACGGUUCGAUGACGGUACCCGCAGAAUAAGCACCGGCUAACUACGUG